GACGAACGCUGGCGGCGUGCUUAACACAUGCAAGUCGAACGGAAAGGCCCUGCUUUUGUGGGGUGCUCGAGUGGCGAACGGGUGAGUAACACGUGAGUAACCUGCCCUUGACUUUGGGAUAACUUCAGGAAACUGGGGCUAAUACCGGAUAGGAGCUCCUGCUGCAUGGUGGGGGUUGGAAAGUUUCGGCGGUUGGGGAUGGACUCGCGGCUUAUCAGCUUGUUGGUGGGGUAGUGGCUUACCAAGGCUUUGGCGGGUAGCCGGCCUGAGAGGGUGACCGGCGACAUUGGGACUGAGAGACGGCGCAGACUCCUACGGGGGGCAGCAGUGGGGAAUAUUGCACAAUGGGCGGAAGCCUGAUGCAGCAACGCCGCGUGCGGGAUGACGGCCUUCGGGGUGUAAACCGCUUUCGCCUGUGACGAAGCGUGAGUGACGGUAAUGGGUAAAGAAGCACCGGCUAACUACGUG
rnacentral:rRNA from 1 species